rnacentral:ncRNA from 2 species
UUUAGUGCGAUUUAUAUUGUUUACUCUGUUGAAAAGGGAAGCAGGUGAAAAUCCUGCACGGUCCCGCCGCUGUAUUGGGGAGAUGCUUCAUAGUAUGCCACUGGUGUAUACUUGGAAGGCUUGAAGCAUUUAUGAACCAGAGUCAGAAGACCUGCCUGUAUGAUUACACGUUU